rnacentral:rRNA from 1 species
GGGGGGGGGGGGGGGCGGGCCGGGCACGGGCAGGUCGGGCGAUGGUCUUCGGGUCAUGGUGGCGCCCGGGUGCGGAACGCGUGGGAAUCUGCCCUUGGGUUCGGGCUAACCGUUGGAACCGACUGCUACUCCCGGAUGAUGUCGAUAAGCCCAACGCUUUAUCGCCCGAGGAUGCGCCCGCUUCGGAUUAGCUAUUUGGUUGGGUAAAGGCCUACCAAGGCACCGAUCCGUAGCUGGUCUGAGAGGAUGAUCAGCCACACUGGGACUGAGACACGGCCCAGACUCCUACGGGAGGCAGCAGUGGGGAAUAUUGGACAAUGGGCGCAAGCCUGAUCCAGCAAUGCCGCGUGAGUGAUGAAGGCCUUAGGGUUGUAAAGCUCUUUUACCCGGGAAGAUAAUGACUGUACCGGGAGAAUAAGCCCCGGCUAACUCCGUG